UUCUAUUCAUCAAAUGCAGAAGUUGAUCGUUCUGCCAUACACUUCGCAACGUGCGCCGAUGAGUCGAGCUGCUAUAAACUAGAGAACGGGACCGUGAGCGAGCUUCAUUCAACGCGCGACUGCCGUCUGGAGCUGACGUAUUUCCUGUUUUAUUGCCGUUCGCAACUGAACGGAUAGGUUUCAAUCAUUCAGCCAUGGUUCACAAGGAUCAUUACAAAACCGUGAAUGACGAUGAAGAUGCUCCAUGGGUGAAAGAGCCCACGAUAAAGAUCGUUAACGGUGACCGCAAUGCACUCGAUCCUGUCAUCGUGAAACGUGACGAAAAUAUCGAGCGCGGCAAUUGGUCCAACAAAUUGGAAUUCAUCCUCUCCUGUUUUUCGUACGCUGUCGGUCUAGGCACUAUAUGGCGGUUUCCUUAUCUCUGUUAUCGCAAUGGCGGUGGAGCCUUCCUAAUUCCAUAUGCCAUCAUGUACGUUUUUGCUGGAUUACCUCUCUUCUUUUUUGAACUUUCGUUCGGGCAAUACGCCAGUGAAGGGCCCGUUAGCAUAUGGAAAGUAGCUCCGUUUUUCCAAGGAAUUGGAUAUGCAAUGUUUGUAAUAUCUUUCUUGAUUGGUAUCUACUACAACAUGGUGGUCGCCUGGUCUUUCCGUUAUUUGUUUGCUUCCAUGACGUCUGUUCUUCCAUGGACAUCUUGUGACAAUGUUUGGAAUACCAAAAAUUGUCGAGAUUUUGAUAUUAAAAACUGUACCUUGCUGGAAGGAUUGGUGGAUUCUAGUAGAACAUGUCACAUCAAAUCUGAAGUUAGUGAUUCUUUCUGGAAAGAACUGGAAUUAAUGAAUACCAACAGCAGACUUCCCGCAGAUGAAUACUUCCAUAAACGUGUCCUAGACAUCAGCACGGGCAUCCACGAUUUAGGUCCAAUUAACUGGGAACUAGCACUCUGUCUGCUUCUUGCCUGGGUGUGUGUCUUCUUCGUGCUCCUACGAGGAAUCAAAAGCUUCGGCAAAGCAGUUUAUUUUACUGCUCUGUUCCCCUACUUGAUCCUGACCAUUCUGUUGAUUCGCUCUGCCACACUGCCAGGAUUCGUAGAUGGUAUCAUGUUUUACCUGACACCCCAGUGGAGUAAACUGACCGAGGCCAGUGUCUGGGGAGAUGCAGCCAUGCAAAUAUUCUUUUCUCUGUCGCCCUGUUGGGGAGGAUUGAUUACACUCGCAAGCUACAACCGUUUUCAUAACAACUGUUUCAGGGAUGCCGUAAUUGUGGCAACUGGUAACGUCUUCACAGCGUUCUUUGCCGGCUUUGUAAUCUUUGGUAUCAUUGGUUUCAUGGCAUUUGAGCUUGGCACCACCGUAGAUAAAGUUGCCACCCAAGGAGCUGGACUUGCAUUUGCCGUCUAUCCCGAAGCCGUAGCUCGAUUACCCAUCGCUCCGUUAUGGUCAAUCCUGUUUUUCGUCAUGUUACUUACACUUGGGCUCGGAACGCAAUUUACCGUUUUGGAGACGGUUGUUACAACAAUCGUUGACUUAUGGCCACACAAGCUACGCGGAAAGAAUCACAAGUGGGUACUGCUAGCCAGUGCAACUGUCAUGUUUCUACUUGGGCUUAUAAUGUGCACAAAUGGAGGCAUGUACGUCUUACAGUUGAUCGAUACAUAUGCAGCUACGUUUUCCGCCCUGAUCGUCGGAAUGGCUGAAGUGUGCGUCAUCGCAUGGCAUUAUGGUAUCGAUCGAUUCCUUGACGACAUCAAACUAAUGCUCGGGCAUGACGCACCACCACGCUGGUAUUGGCGAUUCGUUUGGAAAUUUUUCACGCCCGUCAUCAUCGUCGCCAUUUUGGUGUUCACUUUGGUGGACUUCCGAACACUUACGUACGGCGAUUACACUUAUCCUUUGGAGGCGACUAUCGUAGGAUUUCUCAUUGCGUUGUCUUCUGUGGCCAUGGUUCCAAUUGUGGCAGUCUACAAGGUUUUCCAAUUGGAUGGGCCCAUUCUAGAGCGUAUUCGAGUUCUUCUGCAACCAAGCAGUGAUUGGGGCCCAGCUUUACAAAUUCAUCGUAUCGAGGCUGGAGCUCCGACUCACACCGAUUCACAAGUGCCACUGGCUUUACCCAACCACAGAUUUGAAGAGUUAGAAUUGGAGUUGGCUACGGUUUUGGAACGCGACUCGGAAAGUGAUAAUUGGAUUAAUAUGAAAUGUACGGGACCUAAUUAAAGUGACCAUCCAUCUGUCAACACCCCAGCAAACCCGCAUCUAUAACAGCUUAGGUUAAUUAUAGGUUUCUUGUUAAAUUUCACCGCGUGAAAAAGGAUUGCAUCCACGAGUCACACAAUCUCAAUUAUAUGCGAUACUUCAUAGAACCCUGACGAUAAUGCAUGACGUGAUACCUAGGCUUACUGAGGCAUGCUUUCUUGAAAUUCAGCAUGGCGUUGUAAGGGGUAAGAAUACGUUUUGAAUGUGCGUUUAGUGCACUUUACCUUGAAUCAAGGUAUCGCAUGGCGUGACGUUUUUUAAAUGUUUGUCACUUGCAGAUUCAAUGAUAAAUAUCUCGGCGAAUACAUGUCUAAAACUCGUAA
rnacentral:misc_RNA from 1 species